UACGUAGGGGGCAAGCGUUGUCCGGAAUCAUUGGGCGUAAAGAGCGUGUAGGCGGCUCGAUAAGUCUGCUGUGAAAGUCCAGGGCUCAACCCUGGAAGGCCGGUGGAAACUGUCGGGCUAGAGUCCGGAAGAGGAGAAUGGAAUUCCUGGUGUAGCGGUGAAAUGCGCAGAUAUCGGGAAGAACACCCGUGGCGAAGGCGGUUCUCUGGGACGGUACUGACGCUGAGACGCGAAAGCGUGGGGAGCGAACAGG
rnacentral:rRNA from 1 species